ensembl:lncRNA
GCCCUGGUAAGGUAGUGGACUAUAUAGGGCCCUGGUAAGGUAGUGGACUAUAUAUAGGGAAUAGGGCCCUGGUAAGGUAGUGGACUAUAUAGGGCCCUGGUAAGGUAGUGGACUAUAUAUAGAGAAUAUGGCCCUGGUAAUGUAGUGGACUAUAUAUAGGGAAUAGGGCCCUGGUAAGGUAGUGGACUAUAUUUAGGGAAUAGGGCCCUGGUAAGGUAGUGGACUAUAUAGUUACUUUACUUGACAUUUAAAUGUAAAACUUGAGUCGGGCAUACCAACUGGGCUACAACAUAUGGUACCAAAUGGUUACUUUACCAUCUCUAAAUGGG